rnacentral:rRNA from 1 species
CACAAGCGGUGAGCAUGUGGUUUAAUUCGACGCAACGCGAAGACCUUACCUGGGCUUGACAUCCCGAUCGCACCUUAUGGAAACAUAGGGGUCAGUUCGGCUGGAUCGGUGACAGGUGCUGCAUGGCUGUCGUCAGCUCGUGUCGUGAGAUGUUGGGUUAAGUCCCGCAACGAGCGCAACCCUUUGUCCUUAGUUGCCAGCAUUCAGUUGGGCACUCUAAGGAGACUGCCGGUGUCAAACCGGAGGAAGUGGGGAUGACGUCAAGUCCUCAUGGCCCUUAUGUCCAGGGCUACACACGUGCUACAAUGGCCGGUACAAAGGGGCGCAAGACCGCGAGGUGGAGCAAAUCCCAAAAAACCGGUCUCAGUUCGGAUUGGAGUCUGCAACUCGACUCCAUGAAGUUGGAAUCGCUAGUAAUCGCGUAUCAGCAUGACGCGGUCGAAUACGUUCCCGGGCCUU